rnacentral:lncRNA from 1 species
GCGAAGAUCUCGGGAUCCUGCAGAUUCUCCGACAUAUUUAUGGUGAUGAAAUAUUCUCCAAUGAUUGAGUAACGGUUGUAAUGAUUGUAUGACAGCUGGAGAUAUUAUGUUGUGCGCCGAAUUAGGGCAUGUGCGCAUAGCCAGAACGUUGUUGAUACUGUAGUCGUGCUGCUCUGGUCGAGUUAUGAGUAGUUCGAGUGCAUAGCGACCUGAAAGAUUAAUGACUGUGCCACGUGGCUGCUUUUUAUUGGUUGGAGUAUAUAGUACCCCUACAUAAGCCCCCUCUUUUUAGGUCGAUGAAAGAAGUCGGGCUGAAAAGACUUGGAACUCUGAUCGAUGUUGAUUUGAAGUUUGCUUUUUGAAUUUGUGUACGUGGCGAUCAUGCGUGAUUGUCUCGUAUCAUCAUUGUGUCUUUACGGGGAAGUGGAGAAGUUUCCCCGAGCAGUUACCCGUAAAGUUAUGACCACUGACGCACUUCUUGCUUGAUGGGUUGGAUGCUGGACAUGUGGAUGUAUCCGACGGUGGAUGUGGAACGUCGGGUGAGUGGAAAAUAACUACAAGGAACGUGCUUCCCAUGUUUGAUCUUAGCCGUUGAAGGGAUUCGAACUGAUGGCUGAGAUUGCAUGUGCUACAGUAUUUAAACUGUGGCGUAGUAGUGAAGAGUUUACUUUUCUCAAUUUCUCUCUCGAACUGCUGCGUGUUUUCUCUUGCGACCUGAAGAACUUUGAGAGCUCGUGAGGUUAGUUCCUUCUUUUUGUCUUUUGCUUUUGAAUUUCUUCUUCUUUUAUCUUCUAUCUUUUUCCUUGAGAGAGAUGUCGGAGGGUAGUGACUCUCAAAAUGAUCACUUGGGUGGUGAUGAUGGUGAUGAGUAUGAGUCUGAAAGGACUCAUUCUGAAACUGUGUCUCCUAGUCGGGGUGAGGGAGAUGUGAAUCCUGAAAGCCCCCAGAGUAGUGGUCCUCAUGGGGAGGAUUCUUCUGAUGAUGAGAUGUUUGAGGGAGAAGAUGGGUCGUUUUCCCGAGUAGUAAACCCUAAAUAUGUCCAUAGACAUAUUGCCUUUAGGAAGAAGUAUGGGCUUAGCUCGAUUGACCAUCUAGAGAUUAGGUUUUUAGGAGAUCGUUUGCUCUCUGUUGAGUAUCGACCUAAUAACCCUUUCUCAACUGUGUUUAUCUUGACCCAAUUUCGAGCUGGUCUUAGGUUACCUUUAUCUGCCCUUGUGGUCGAUCUUCUUAAUGCGAUUAGACGAGCUCCUUGUCAGAUGAAUGCUAACGUUUGGAGAAAUAUGAGGGUGAUUGACGACCUCAAUAAGUUGCAUAGGUGGAACAUUUCCGUAGAGAAUGUGUUAGACCAUUUUUGUUUUAAACGUUCUGCGAAGCCUGGGCUAGCGGGCUAUAACAUGCAAGUCCGGCCAGAGCGUUUACCCUUGAUCUACCCUGUGAGUAGCGAGCCAUGGUGGAAGGAUCCCAUGCUGAUUACUGGGUCGAUCACUGAGGGGGACAUCCAGUUGCGACAUGUGACUAGAAAUGUUGCUGAUAACCGUAAGCUUCUGGUCGUUAGUCAUUGGUCGUGAUAAAUUUAUUUGUUGUCGAACUUUCUAACUUUGAAUUUUGUUUGCAGCGAUCAGGGACGACCAUCUGGUGAAGAAGAACGACCUGAAGUCCGCUCUGAACGCAUUUGGACUGUGGACUGAUAAUCGCAAGGCGCAGUUCUUGCCUCACCUGAAGGAAUUUUUUAUUCCUAAGGGUGGUCCGAAGACAAUUGCAGAAGAACUCGAGAGAAGGAAGGUGCUAGAGAAGAACUUUAUGUCGUCUGUGCAUAAAGCUGAUAGGGGACGAGCUGGUGGUAGCUCGCGCCAGGGGGAGAAAGAGGCGAGCCCCCAGGUCGUGUCUCCUCCGACCUCUUUGCCUAAGUUGCCUGCUAGGUCGAUGAAGAAGAGGUCGUUCUCAGGUAAUCUGAAGAUGGUGGAGCCACCAGUCGUACCUGAUCCUACCCCUCUUAAGUCAGUUCGUUCUCCUGAGCCCACUCUUGUGUCGAAGAAGACUGUUGCUCGGCCUUUGCAGAAAGGUAAGGGGGUGUUGUCUGAGUUCCGACCUGGGCCAUUCGAUUAUUUGGAUGGCCGAGGGGGAAAGCAUGUCGUUUAUGAUAACGACAGUGCAAUAAAUGACCCUUGCGUUGCCCGAGCUGUGAAUGAGGGCAUCGUUCUGGAUGCUGAUGCUCGAGCAGUGAAGUCGCAAACCCUGUUGGUAACUUGCUCGAAGAUAAACGCAGCAAUGUCCUUGGUGAGUUGGACUUACAUUUUCUGUUUUGUUGUCUUGAUUUACGUACUGUUGUCUAAUCGUUACUUUUGUGUAUAGCUCAACGCCAGCUUCCAGGAAGUUCGUCUGGUCGCUGAGGUUGGAGCUCGAGCUGAUAUCGAGCUGAAGCAUAUGAAUGAGAAGCUCGAGCAGGCGAGGACGAUUGUCGUAGUUGCUGAGUCUAAGGUGAGGGAUAAGGAAGCGGAGAACGUGGUGUUGAAGGAGAUGUUAGAGGUGGUAAGGGGUGAGCUCGCUGCUGCUAAGGAGUCUGCGGUCCACUGGGAGAACACAUGCCAUAAGAACGGUGUAGAGUGGAAGGCUUACUGCGACUACCUGCAGAAACAGAUGAUGGGCUCGCCCGAAGGAGAGGAGACGCGAGGUGGUGAUGAAGGAGCUUUAGUGCCAACUCAGGACACCUCGAUGGGCCCUGCUGAUGUGGUUGGAGGUGGCCAGAACGAGUUGGGUGAUCACAACGAUCAGACCUCCCAGCAGUGAUCUUAUCUCUCUCUUCAGAGAAUCCUGGUGUUUGGUGAGGCCAACCCGAGUCUCCACUACACCAAUAGCUCAUCUUGCUUACACCUUGGUAGCUUCUCCUUGCAUGGGAAAGUACAUCUCCUUCUUCUUCUCACGUUCAGUUUUCAAGUCCGAUGUAGUGAUUUCGAGUGAGCAUUUAUCUAUCUUGACUAAGUUUGUAAAGAAUGAUAGUGGUCGAUCUGCUUUUAAGUCUGUCUGAGCGGCUAGUUUCCAGGGAGUCCUGGUAGCUCGUUCAGAAGACAGGUAGACGAGAUGAAUGGCUGCAAGCAGGACGGACUGAAAUUGUUCUUCUUGUAUGCCUUUAGUUGAAAUUUGCUUUUAUAGCUUCUAGGUUGCAUUUGGUAGAUCGGUUUACCUGUAAUAGUUAGAUUUUCAUAAAGAAAUUUCACUUAUCUACCUUGCAUUCUUAUACUUGUUGCGUUGUCUGCUUGUAUGGGUUUUGCAAACAAUAAGUAACAAGCAUAGUGUUGGACCUGAUGGUGGAUGAGGUCGUAUGCAUGUUAGCUGAGGUGUACGUGGGUCGUGGGAAUGAUAUGACCAAUGUACCAAGUUAAGUUGUAAAUGUUUGAACUUAACAAAAUAAAAAUUAUCAAAGGGACUAGAGUUUUGAUAAUUUGUAGGUCGAGGGAUUGGAUUAGACCUUUAAAAGCCAUUCAUGUUUGAGCUGAGAUGAAGGCAGAAAUGAGUUUGAAUAUUGAAAUGUAAUAGAUAGAUGCUUACAUUUCAUUGAUAAAACUUCUUCAAGUGGUAAGCAUUCCAUGGGUUUUUAACGUUCUCCCCUUCUGGCGUUUGAAGACGAUAAGAUCCGUUGCUUUGAACCUUGGUGAUAAUGUAAGGGCCUUCCCAAUUGGCAUUGAGCUUGCCGAUAGUUGCCUUCCUUUUGUUGUGGAACAUUUUUCUUAGAACUAGUUCUCCGGGUUGAAAAGAUCUAGGACGUACGCCUUUGUUAUAAGCUCGCUUUAGUCUUUGUUGAUAUUGUUCGAGUUUUAUAACGGCGUGGUUUCGUCGUUCUUCGACGAGAUCUAUUCCGAACGACCAGACCUGAUUGUUAAGUUCUGUGUCUACCAGAAGGGAUUUGGUCGUGCCAAAUGUCAACUCGGUGGGAAUAACGGCCUCAACUCCAUAGCAAAGGCUAAACGGUGACAUCCCUGUAGAUGUACGAGGAGUUGUUCUGUAAGCCCACAGGAUGUUUUCUAACUGAUGUGGCCAUUGAUCGUGUUGAUCCUCGAGGGUCGAAUUUGGGGGCGUUGAGCUUGUUAGGCAAUUCAUGGUCGAGGAUCUCCUUGGAGAAGGGAGACUCCUGAAAUUGCUGAAGGGACUGGACAGCAAGUUGUUCUGCGGUAUGGCCUUUGUGAAGUUGUAUGAUGGCCUGAGUGGCUUUGAACUCCGCUAGUUGUAGGCUGAGUUCCUCAUACUUUUGAUUGGAGUCAUCAACAGCAACGACUCCAUGUCCACCAUUUGCUCUUGGUGCUGGGUUGGUAGUUUGUGCAGCCUUUAACUGUGCGUUUUCUUCCUGAAGACGAUUGAUUUGGUCUUGCAGAUCUUGGAUGGUCAGUUCAUGGGUAGCCAUUUGAAUAGAUGACUUUGAGUUGGGUGGGAGGGUUUGGGUUUUUCGAUAUAAUCGAAUUCCUUACAGUCGCCGCCAAAUGUAUUAACCUAUUUCUAGAUCAAUGCAUUCACUAGGUCAGGUCGCUAGCAGACUUGACCAAAAAGGGGGGGAGUUUUAGAUCGGGGUGGUUGCACCUCGUUGAGAUUGAGAUUGCCUACGUACUCUAGUUCGUGGGGAUUGAACCUAGAGAUCAAGCCAUCGUAGUUCUGUUAUGUAGAAGGUGAAGAGGCGAAGAUCUCGGGAUCCUGCAGAUUCUCCGACAUAUUUAUGGUGAUGAAAUAUUCUCCAAUGAUUGAGUAACGGUUGUAAUGAUUGUAUGAGAGCUGGAGAUAUUAUCUUGUGCGCCGAAUUAGGGCAUGUGCGCCUAGCCAGAACGUUGUUGAUACUGUAGUCGUGCUGCUCUGGUCGAGUUAUGAGUAGUUCGAGUGCAUAGCGACCUGAGAGAUUAAUGACUGUGCCACGUGGCUGCUUUUUAUUGGUUGGAGUAUAUA